GAUGCUUCAGGAGGAAGAACUUUGGUUGAUGAGUCAAUCUGAGUGUUCCUUUUUUUCUUUCCUUAUGCCGCUAGCGGGGGGCCUGUCAGCCCCUGCCCCACUGUUCCAACCUCUGUGACUGGAGCUCCCCGUAGUGAACCCACUACUCUCCCACCUCAGGCUCACUCUGCUGUGGCUGCCAGACUAAUCUGGUCAAAGAUGGUAGUCAUCUGAAGGUAGGUGAGGACUCUUGGGCUCCAACUCAUGGUCAGCAUUUCUGGGGUCUUUCUCUGAUGUGUGAGAUCAAAAGGAGAGAAUAUCUGAACUCAGGACUGUCUUGAAAAUCUUAGAGACUAUGAGGGGGAGAGUUUUCGUCUCAACUCUGGGCCCUCCCAGGGCACUCAGGAGUCUCAACUCCGCAUGGACCCCCUACCUCCUCUGAAGAACACAGGCUUGGCCAUGUGACCUGCCUGCCCUGACCGAUGGGAAAUUAGCAAAUGACACACGAGCAGAGGUUUCAGAAGCACUUAGGAAGUCGGGCAUGCUCUGUGGGCUGCAGUUGGAAGCCUGAGACCAUGAUGCAAAUGGCCUGAGGCAGCCUGCUGGAAAGGCCACGUGGAGGAGAACUGCGGCUCUCCAGCCGACCGUCGCCUCUACCUAACAACCCUGUGAAUAAAGCUUUCUUGGAUGAGCCAACCUUAGUCAACAGCGACAUGUAUGAUCCCAGGUGAGACCAGGAGAAGCGCCACUGAGCUGAGCCCAACCUGAAUUCUGACCCAC